rnacentral:rRNA from 1 species
UACGUAGGGGGCAAGCGUUGUCCGGAUUUAUUGGGCGUAAAGCGCGUGUAGGCGGCCAGGUAGGUCCGCUGUGAAAACUCGAGGCUCAACCUCGAGACGUCGGCGGAAACCAUCUGGCUAGAGUUCGGUAGGGGAGACUGGAAUUCCUGGUGUAGCGGUGAAAUGCGCAGAUAUCAGGAGGAACACCGGUGGCGAAGGCGGGUCUCUGGGCCGAUACUGACGCUGAGGAGCGAAAGCGUGGGGAGCGAACAGG